UCACCAAGGGGGCCGGCAGCUUUGCGGAUCCUGGGCCCUCACUCACAAUUGGAGGAAGGAGUUCAGGAAGUGCUCUCAGCCACACUCAGACCUCACAGAGCCUCGUCCCAGGCAGGACCGAGGCUGCAGCACCCAGGGAUGAGCGUGACGUGGCCUGGCCCCGGGGGUGGCUGCCAGGUCAGGAGGCCAUGGCAUUGUGUUCAGCCAGCAGGGAGCCCAGGGCGUCACCAGAGGGCUGGAUUAGCGAGGCUCCCUCUGAGCAAAGCCUUCUGCCUUCUUCCAGCCCCUCCGAGUCCAGGGAGUCUUGAGCUCACGCCUUAAAGGACAUCGCUUCUUCCAGAGCUGCCAGUGGAGUUGCCCAUGGCUCUCAGAAGCCUGGCCUGAGGCUCAGGAAACAGUGACAGAGACCCAGUGAGAUUGGAGUAGGGCCAUGCGGGGCACCCAACAGCCCAGACAAGGCAGCAGUCAGGGCCUCAGACCAGCACCUUCUUAGAAGAUCACAGGGAGAGUGGCCUGAGGAGCGAGGGUACCUGCCAUCACCGAGAGCCCCGGCUUCAGACAGGGAGCUGAGGCUCCAAGACUCGUCCCAGGUUGCUCAGUGGGUCAGCGGCCACGCAGGGCCAUGGAAACGGCUGUGAUUGGAGUGGUGGCCGUGCUGUUUGUGGUCACCGUGGUCAUCACCUGCGUCCUCUGCUGCUUCAGCUGUGACUCAAGGGCCCGGGAUCCUCAGAGGGGCCCAGGCCACAGCUUCACGGUGGCCACGUUUCGCCAGGAGGCUUCUCUCUUCACGGGGCCAGGUCGCCAUGUCCAACCAGUGGUGGGUGCCCGGGACUUCUGGACCUUCAUGUGAGACCUGCCAGAUCUCGGCCUUUGCUCUGCUGGUGGUCAGACUUGUUUAUGCCCCAGCAAGCCUUCUCUGGUGACCCACUCCUCCAAUGCUGGCUUUCCCAUCCUUCCCUGCCUGUGUCCAGUAAACCCUGUCCCAUGUCCUGCAGCCUGGGAGAUCCAUGGUGAUAGGACCAGGUGGGAGUCAGCUCUGACCUCCAAGAGCUCAGCUGGAUCCUAACCACAGGAUGGGGCUUAGGAGAGGUCCAGAGGGUGAGUGACUGAGUGUUGGAUGGCAUGGUGGACCAGGUCUUCUGAUCUACACAGUGAACUGAAAUCUCACCGGACUUUAUUGUGAAGAGUGUUGGGAGUUCCCAUCAUGGCACAGUGGAAAUGAAUCCGACUAGGAACCAUGAGGUUGUGGGUUCGAUCCCUGGCCUUGCUCAGCGGGUCAAGGAUCUGGCGUUGCUGAGAGCUAGGUCACAGGGGCUGCUCAGAUCUGGCGUUGCUGUGGCUGUGGUGUAGGCCGGUGGCUACAGCUCCGAUUUGACCCCUAGCCUGGAAACCUCCACAUGCCACAUAUGGCCCUGAAAAAACAAAAAGACAAAAAAAAGAGUGUUGGUUAACUCAGCUUAUCCCUGGAUGCCUGUGACCUGUGAAACUGAUUCUGUUGCCACCGGAGGAAGCAGAGCCCUCAAGUGGACAGUUUUACCAAUGACGUCUUCUCUGUUCCUGUAAUUGAGCCACUUUGCUACUUGCUUGUGCACAUCCUGCAGAGCUCACCCCUGACACCUGUGCCCUGCUGGUUACCUGAAAUCAGCAGUGAAAUUCUGAAACCAAAGGGCUGCUUCCUGGGAACUGGUGAUUUAUUUUAUAAUUGAACAUGCCUAUCCUUUUAUGGGUCUCCUAAGAAUCGGGGUUGGGAAACCACAAAAGGAAACAGAAGAGAAAGAGUCACAGAAAGCUCAAGAUGUUUUAUUAACAGGAAAGCCAGAAAGAAGACUUUGCAACAUGUUUGGUAUGAGAAUUUAUCACUAUAUUCUUACAGAUCACUUCGAAGAUACUGUGAGGGACUUGGGUCCCUCAGGAAUGAUAGAAAAAUCGGCAACUGAAAGGUGAUUUUGAGUAAGUUAAAAUGUUUCAUUGACAGAGUGUAACAAAGCUCUUGCUUGCAUCACAAAUAAAGAGAUGUUCAGUUUUUAUUUACAGAAAA